rnacentral:rRNA from 1 species
GCGCUUUUAGAUGGGUCCAUGGCUGAUUAGCUAGUUGGUGGGGUAAAGGCUCACCAAGGCGACGAUCAGUAGCCGGCCUGAGAGGGU